GUGCUCGCUUCGGCGGCACAUGUACUAAAAUUGAAACUAUACAGAGAAGAUUAGCAUGGCUCCUGCACAAGGAUGACACACAAAUUCGUGAAGUGUUCCAUAUUUUU
rnacentral:snRNA from 1 species